AAUUUUGAAAAACUCCCAAUCUACUGGGUGAAAUCACAGUGUGCCAUCACAGCAGCAAGAUUGUGACCUGUUGCCACGAGAAAAGGGCAACCAGUGAAGAACAAACACCAUUGUAAAUACAACCCAUAUUUAUGCUUAUUUAUUUAUCUUGUGUCCUUUAACCAUUUGUACAUUGUUAAAACACUGUAUAUAUAUAUAUAUAUGACAUUUGUAAUGUCUUUACUGUUUUGAAACUUCUGUAUGUGUAAUGUUUACUGUUAAUUUGUUGUUUUUCACUUAAAUAUUCACUUUGUAUGUUUGUCACCUCACUUGCUUUGGCAAUGUUAACACAUGUUUCCCAUGCCAAUAAGCCUUGAAUUGAAUUGAAUUGAAUUGAGAGAGACAGAGAGAGAGAGAGACAGAGAGAGAGACAGAGAGAGAGACAGAGAGAGAGACAGAGAGAGAGAGAGAGAGAGACAGAGACAGAGAGACAGAGAGAGAGACAAGAGACAGAGACAGAGACAGAGACAGAGACAGAGAACAGAGACAGAGACAGACAAGAGAGAGAAACUCUGCAGGCAACGGACAAACUUAUGGUCACCAAACAGACACUAACAAAAGCCCCCGGGAGCCCCAAAGCUACAACUCAGUCACCGCUACAGUGAUCAAACAGCUACACUCUACCCACACAGAGAGAGAAGACAGAGAGAGAGAGACCGAGAGAGAGAGACCAGAGAGAGAGAGUAUAGGAGAGAGUCUCUGGGUAAACGUGUGGGGUAAAGAGCACGGGGGGACAAAGGGGCCCGCGUUGCCUGGGAGAAGAGACCCGCGGCCCCAAAAAUGUCUACAUCAAGGCCUGGUGGGGCUGAGGGUCAGAGGCAGGGGCCACACCAUGGAGGGCCAUGCUCCGCGGAGGUGGGUACAGUCCCCCAGCAGCCACCCCACAGCCCAGGGGACAGAGGCUGGACAAUGGCUGGAACCCAACAAGCAGCUGGAGCUGGGCGGAGAAAAAUAAGCUUUGGAGAUUGAGCUUUGAGGACGGAGAGACUGAGUGAGUGUGGGAGGGGGAAAACGAAAUGAGAAAAGGAAGGAUGGAUGGAGCCCCUCCCUGAAUGAUCUAGAAAAUGCAUCAGACUAAAACAUUUCAGCAUUUAAAACAACCAGAACUUUUCAGCCACACCCCACGGCUUCAAACUAUACACGCUCUCUUCCCUCUUAACAACUAAGCAACACAACACACACACACCAAUAAAAGGGGGGAGGGGCCUGGGUGGU
rnacentral:lncRNA from 1 species